rnacentral:rRNA from 1 species
ACCUGCGGAAGGAUCAUUACCGAUCGCGUUCUACACGUAGAACACCGUGAACCGUAUGGAGAGUUGGGGGUCGUCCCGUCGAGGACGUCAAACGAUGAGAGCGCCCCUUGGGUUGAUUCUCACGGCCCCCACGUUUAUUUUUCCAAACAACACCUUUACUACAGAGAGCUUGUCCGCUCCAAACGGACAGAAAACUAAAAGUUCAUAACUUUUAACGGUGGAUCUCUUGGCUCGUGCAUCGAUGAAGAACGCAGCCAGGUGCGAUAAGUAGUGUGAAUUGCAGAAUUCAGUGAAUCAUCGAAUCUUUGAACGCAAAUGGCGCUCUUGGGUUUUCCCAGGAGCACGUCUGUCUGAGUGUCGGUUUCCAAACCAUCGCACGCCCCGCGCGUGCGGAAUUGAGGCGUCGCGGCACCCCGGCAUCGUCGGGCGGGCCUCGUCCCUUGAAAUGCAGCACGACCGAUGGAAGCGGCCAGCGUCGCCACUUCGGGAAGGCCAAAAAAGCAUCUUUGCCCUUUCCCGAGGCGUCGUCUGAUCGGCCAUCCGGUUGGAGUUCGGCAGUAUGUAUGCCUUGUGCAUCCAUCCAUUCUUGACCUCAGAUCAGGCGAGAUUACCCGCUGAAUUUAAGCAUAUUAAUAAGCGGAGG